rnacentral:rRNA from 1 species
GACGAACGCUGGCGGCGUGCUUAACACAUGCAAGUCGAACGAAGUGGCGAACGGGUGAGUAACGCGUAAUCAACAUGCACUUCAGAGGGGGACAACAGUGGGAAACGACUGCUAAUACCGCAAACUGAAGGAGGGGCUGGCGUCUGAUUUGCUAGGUGGAGGGGUAACGGCCCACCAAGGCGAUGAUCAGUAGCCGGUCGGAUAGGAUGAACUGCCACAUUGGGACUGCGACACGGCCCAGACUCCUACGGGAGGCAGCAGUGGGGAAUCUUCCGCAAUGGACGAAAGUCUGACGGAGCAACGCCGCGUGAGUGAUGACGGCCUUCGGGUUGUAAAGCUCUGUUAAUCGGGACGCGGUACCGGAAUAGAAAGCCACGGCUAACUACGUGCCAGCAGCCGCGGUAAUUC